ensembl:lncRNA
GUGAAGUAGAGUGAGACUUUCAGGGGACUGCGUUUCUCUUUCGGUUUCACUUUUGGGCUUGCAUACAGACCACUGCUGUACCGGCUGGCUAGGCUGCUCUGUAAGUAAGGCUUUUCCCUAUUAAAUACCCUUAUAUUUCUACUUGGCUCCAUAUUGGUAAUUUCCCACUAUAUCUGGUUGUCAGGAGUGGGAUAUUGGAAACCUACACCCCAUUUGGGACCGGCUGUGGGAUCCACCCGGCCUUCGGCCUAGGCGGGGAAAGUGCUCUCUCUCCACAGGUGCUCCCGGCUCCUAGCAAACCUGCUGCCCCACACAAGCGUGUUCCAGCGGCCAGGGAGCUGCUCAGAACAGUCUGCCCAGCUUGGAGGCAGUUUCUAGCUGCCUAGAGGAAGGCAGGUGACAGGGAUGCAAAGACAACAGCAUAUUGUUACAAGAUGUGAUAACAGAGAGAUGUCAAGAAAUUUCAAGUACACCUGGCAUCAAUCAGGAGUAUGGGAUCUUCAAGAGAGAAUGGUUUCCAAGAAAUCUCCACACACACUUUGAUAUGAUGUUCAGCAUGGGAAAUGGCAGAAACAAUUACAGUGGAGCUUGCCAGUAUCACCAAAUGAAGUGAACCAAUAAAUUGGAUUGCCUCCACAAUGGUUUACUCUUACCAUCAUAUCUAUUACAUUACUGCUUGGAAACUGUUAUCUGAAAUAACAUAAGCUGCACAAGUUCCCUCGUAUGGAUAAAGGACUGGAUUUAAAAUUCUAUAUCCUUAGCUUUUGAAAUUAUUUCUAUAGACCGGGCAUUUAUUAUGCAAAAAUGCUUUGUUAAAUAUUUCCUUGAAUAGUUGCAUGGGUCAGAGUCCUGUAUAAGAUCAAAGUCAGCUUCUAUUUAUAAUUCAGAUAUGGGGGGAUGAGUGGUUCACAGCUGCAGCUGGACUUGGAGCUCCAAAGGCAGCUGUUUUUUACAUUUUUAUAAAUGUUCCUAGUUCCAUCUUGAUAUAAUAGGAGUCUAUGGCUUAUGUUAUAGGGGAAUCUAGGAAAUCACUUUAAGAAUGAAGCAAGAUUUCUCACCUCUAUAGUGACUGUGAUGGCAGAUGCAUAACAAGUCAAGGGUUCUAUUUCCCAAAGACCUGGCAGGUUUUUCUAGCUCUCAAAGAAACAAGGCUUCCUAGUAAAUAGAACCUAUCAUUUAAUUUCUGUUCUUACUAGCUAAACUUUGAUUAUUUUCAUUGUCAAAAUACAAAGAAAACCAUGUAAUUAGGCCUUUCCCUCUAUACUUAUUAAUUUUUAUAAGUUCUUUUAGCUUUGCCAUUGAUUUCUACAGUAUGACUAAUAUAUUUCAAUAUAUUUUUAUCUGGUUAUCAAUCUGUGACCCUUGUGAACUUGUAGGCUGACAUUUGUCAUUAAUUUUAGAAAUUUAUCAGUAGCUUUGAAUUUCUUUCAUCAUGGGAUGUGUUGUUCAUUUGGGGUUGCUGACCUCAGCAUCUCUCUAUGUAGUCCUGGAUGCUCCCUCACUCUUGGUCUUCCUUCCUUAGCUCCAGAAAUGGAAUCAUUUGACAAGUACAGCCAAGGAAAAAAAAGAAGAAAGAGAUUCUUUGAAAUGCAACAGAAUAUGUAGGAAGUCCCAACCAAUGAAGUCAACAUGCUGUUGUCUAUUGUAUCCAUUUUUGAUGUUGUCUCAGAGUUUCCACCAUCUGCUAAUUUUAUCCAGGUAUUCCUGGAUAAAUAUUUAUCCAUGUUACAUAUUUUUGAAAGCAGAUACCUCAGCAUGUUAUUCACGUUGAUUCUGAAUUCCUGCUCCAAAAGCUGCAUCAUGUUUGAGUUCUAAUUUGUAGCGUUCACUUUUUGUUUUCAGAUUGCUUCAUCCUUUUAUUGUGUCUUAGAGUUUCUUAUUGAGACUACAAAAUGUGGUGUAACAAACUAUAAGAGCUGCAUAGUUUAAUGUGGCAUGUAAAAUUUACCUGAUAAUGUAAUAUAAAAGGAUCUGGUACAUUGCCCUUUACUGUGAGGAUCAUGUUUAUCAGGUAUAAAUAUUUCUUUGCUUAGUGGUUAUUGUAUGUUUAGGGUUCAGUGGCUGAAAUUUCCUCUAGUGUUCAUGUAUUAUUCUGUCCUACUCAUGUACAGCAUGUCUCUAAGAGAUCAAUAUCUGAUUAGAAUUUGUGUUACAAGGAGGUUACACUUAGCAAGAUAAAUAUAAGUUUCUCUCAAAGUGGAUGUACAAAUUUGGACAUAAACUUGAGAAUUAUAGCUAUUAUCCUGAAGUAAGUGCUUAACAUUAUUUUAUUAUGUUUAAUAAACCUACACAAAACUCACCAAUGAAUUACAUUCUCACACACUCUUUUUUAUUUAAAUUAGAAACAAGCUUGUUUUACAUGUCAAUCCUAGUUCCCUCUCCCUUCCCUACUCCCCUGUUCCCC